GGUGAACAUAGGGAUUAAAGACAAUAACCAAAGAGGUGUACAGAGUCAGAAGAUAGAAACAACUGCUCAGUAGGGAUGACAAGAGAAAGAAGACAGAAUUAGGUCAAUUCCACUUGAUGGCAGGACUCUUAACAAGUGACAAAAUAAGCUGAUUUUACAGAGGAAGGAAGUACAGUUUUUCUUUCUGUGGCUAUUUUCACAAUUUUUUGAUGACUUUCUAUUGCGAUAUUACCUAAUCGCCUCUCAAGGCCUGAAGUUCUUUUUGUGUGAUAUUUGUGAAUUGUAAAUCAAGGACUAACAACAAUUGAGGGUUUCAUUUUUUAGUAUAUGUUUGCAUCAAGUCAAAUGCUCUCACAUGAUGUUUUCCAAGGAAAAAGUUGUGCCUCUGUUGUGUUUUUAUUUUCACACUAUCUCAGAUCAUUUCAGAGCAGUAUCCCAAGCCCCAAUUAAUGCUUUUCUGUAUAUAACAUUGAAAUUCCACAACCUAAUAUUCAAUAACCAACACAGAAUAAAUUAUCAGUUAGAAGACCCAAGUUGUCCAGGACACUCAGCUAACCUGAAUUCUCUUGCCCAUGGCAUGGAUGGCAUGGAUGAGAAAGAACUCACAAUUACCUGGAAAACCAUCAGCUGCAAAUCGGAUGCUCCCCAAGGAUUCCCAAGUCCUCAUUCAAAGGGAAACACCAGAAGGGUCUUUCCACUGUGUGGUUCUUUAAGCCUCUCCAAGUCUUCACCCAAAUGAGAAUAGAGCUUCAUAAUGAUAUGAAUUGAAUUCAACUGGAAAAAUGACAUUAUCACCUGGCCAAGCAUAUCAUCAUGUGUCCACCAUGAGUUAAUGCCAUUUAUACCAAGAGUACCAAUGUACUAAUGUAACUAUAUUUGAAGAUAGAGCCUUUGAAGAGGUAAUUAAAGUUAAAUGAAGUCUUAAAAGUGGGGCUUUAAUUUAAUAGGACUAUGUUCUUUACAAGAGGAAGAGACACCAGAGAUACACACAGAGAAAAGCUCACAUGAGGACACAGAGAGAAGGUGGCCAUCUGCAAUCCAAACAGAGAGGUCUCAGGAGAAACCCAAUUCACUGGAACCUUUACCUGGGACUUCUGCCCUCCAAGACUGUGAGAAAAUAAAUUUCUGUUAUUUAAGCCACCCUGUCUGUGGUAUUUUGUCAUGACACCUCUAGCAAACAAAUACAGGGACACAACCAAAAGCAAGACAGACAUGGAAUUUUACUAGGAAACCAAUAUUUUCCCCAAUGAUGAAUGAAACUCAAUUGCAAAAAUGAUUAGAAAAAAGAAGUUCAGAGUGCUUUUUGCCUAAGGUAAGCUCUCUCUCUUUCUUGAUACUCUAUGCUCUUUUACCAGCUAUUAUGUCACCUUCCUCUGCCACCAGGUACAAUAAUAAAAAGU